rnacentral:lncRNA from 1 species
UCCCCCCAGUGAAAGUCCUCGCUUGCCGCAUGCGGAGCCCUGAACUCCCUCAGCCUGGCUCGGGCUCUGCUGGCUGGGGGAGAUGCAAAAGGAAGGAGAUCCCCUAAAAAGCAGCGAUCGGGGCAAAACCGCCCCACGAUGCCCACCGGUGCCUCCGGGAAAUGGGGCCGAGUUUGGCUUUAGGGCGGCCAGCACCCACCGAGCUGCCCCCGUCCUCCUGCAGCACCCAGAGGCUGCGUUUUGGGCCAGAAUCCCCAAAUCUGCUCACUUUCUCCUUCCCCGUCUGCCCCACCGGGCGGCAGGGCGUCGAGUACUGCAGAGAUCCGCGAAGCCUUCAAGGUGUUCGACCGGGACGGCAACGGCUUCAUCUCCAAGCAGGAGCUGGGCACGGCCAUGCGCUCGCUGGGCUACAUGCCCAACGAGGUGGAGCUCGAGGUCAUCAUCCAGCGCCUCGACAUGGACGGUGACGGGCAGGUGGACUUCGAGGAGUUUGUGACGCUGCUGGGGCCCAAGCUGUCCACCUCGGGCAUCCCGGAGAAGUUCCACGGCACGGACUUCGACACCGUCUUCUGGAAGGUAGGGGGGGUCCUGACCCCCCCCUUGCACCGGGGACACCGGGUCGGGGCUGGGUGGGGUCGGGGUCAGGGUUAGGACUGGGUCAGGUUUUAGGUUGGGGUCGGGGUCAAGGUAAGGCUUGGGGUCGGGGUUAGGGCUAGGGUCAGCAUUAGGGUUGAGGUUAGGGUCAGGGUCAGGGUUGAGCUUGGGGUCAGGCU